AUACGUAGGGGGCGAGCGUUGUCCGGAAUGAUUGGGCGUAAAGGGCGCGUAGGCGGCCCGGUAAGUCUGGAGUGAAAGUCCUGUUUUUAAGAUGGGAAUUGCUUUGGAUACUGUCGGGCUUGAGUGCAGGAGAGGGAAGUGGAAUUCCCAGUGAAGCGGUGAAAUGCGUAGAGAUUAGGAGGAACACCAGUGGCGAAGACGACUUACUUGGCUGUAACUGACGCUGAGGCGCGAAAUUGUGGGGAGAAAACAGGAUUAGAUAGCCUGUAAGUCCACACUAUAACCUAUGAAUGCUAGGUGUAGGGGGUAUCGACCCCGUCUGUGCCGCAGUCAACACAAUAAGCAUUCGGCCUGGGGAGUCCGGACGCAAGGUUGAAACUCAAAGGAAUUGACGGGG
rnacentral:rRNA from 1 species